CGAUAUAGAUCCACUCCUUGUUGCACAGCCCCUCUCCUCAGUCCUCCCAUGGAUCCGCCACCGCCCCAAACACCGCUGCUCUCGCCUGCUCCUUCUGGUGGACUCCUGGAGUCAUGCUUGUGGUUCUUGUGCUGCUGUGGCCUGUUUGGAAGCUGCUGCCCUCCACUGUUUGAGCCGGGGCCUCCACCUCCCUAAAUUUUCUUACUUUCUUUUUGCUUUUAUCUAUUUGUCUGAUUGUGGAUGUAUAAGGAAAAUGAGAAACAGUGUUGAUUGGAAUUUUUCCGUUUCAACUUUUUUUUUUUUUUUGUACCAGUAAUGAAUUUCAUCAUUUG